rnacentral:rRNA from 1 species
UACGUAGGGUGCGAGCGUUGUCCGGAAUUAUUGGGCGUAAAGGGCUCGUAGGCGGUUUGUCGCGUCGGGAGUGAAAACACUGGGCUUAACUCAGUGCUUGCUUCCGAUACGGGCAGACUAGAGGUAUGCAGGGGAGAACGGAAUUCCUGGUGUAGCGGUGAAAUGCGCAGAUAUCAGGAGGAACACCGGUGGCGAAGGCGGUUCUCUGGGCAUGUCCUGACGCUGAGGAGCGAAAGUGUGGGGAGCGAACAGG